GAAGUUCCAUGGCCAAAAGGGAAAGAGCCCAGACCGCCAGCUAAGGUCCCUAAAUCAGCACUAAGUGGAGAAGGAUGUGGGGGCACACAGACAGCCAGGAGGUUGGCUUAGAAGCAGCCAUCCUUUAAAGAAAGCGUAAUAGCUCACUGGUCAAGUGAACCUGCGCCGAAAAUAUAACGGGGCUAAAGUGCUGUACCGAAGCUGCGGAUUGACGUGAUCCUUCGGGAUCACUCAGUGGUAGGCGAGCAUUCCAUGGGCGGUGAAGGCGGACGGCAACGACCGUUGGAGCGCAUGGAAGAGCUUAUGCAGGCUUGAGUAGCGAUAAAACAGGUGAGAAACCUGUUCGCCGUAAGCCCAAGGGUUCCUGGGUCAAGUUAAUCUUCCCAGGGUUAGUCGGUCCCUAAGCCGAGGCCGAAAGGCGUAGGUAAUGGGUAUCAGGUUAAUAUUCCUGAACCACGACGGAUGGUGCUGCAGGAGGGACGGAGGAGGGUAGCUGAGCCGGGUUGUUGGAUUGUCCGGUUCAAGCCUGUAGAGGGAUUCGCUAGGAGGCCUAGUGCCACAAACGGCGAGUCAACCUUGAGAGGUGAUGAGGAGAGCGCUUGCGCUCAUAAACUCAGUAAUCCCAAACUUCCGAGAAAAGCUCCGGCAGAGUUAACCGCUGUCGUGACCGUACCGCAAACCGACACAGGUGGGCGAGGAGAAGAUCCUAAGGCGCUUGAGAGAACCCUGCUUAAGGAACUCGCAAAAUGACACCGUAACUUCGGGAGAAGGUGUGCCCCUGAGGGUGAUGGACUUCGCGUCCGGAGCUCGCGGGGGUUGCAGAGAAUCGGGGGUAGCGACUGUUUACCAAAAACACAGCACUCUGCUAAGUCGCAAGACGACGUAUAGGGUGUGACGCCUGCCCGGUGCUGGAAGGUUAAGAGGAGAAGUCAGCCGCAAGGCGAAGCUUCGAAUCGAAGCCCCAGUAAACGGCGGCCGUAACAAUAACGGUCCUAAGGUAGCGAAAUUCCUUGUCGGGUAAGUUCCGACCUGCACGAAUGGCGUAACGACUUCCCCACUGUCUCAAGCAGGGACUCAGCGAAGUAGCACUAGGGGUGAAGAUACCCUUUACCCGCAGCAGGACGGAAAGACCCCGUGAACCUUUACUAUAACUUGACACUGAUUUUCGAAGCACUUUGCGUAGGAUAGGUGGGAGGCUGCGAUUUCGGGAUUCCGGUCUCGGAGGAGCCAACGUUGAAAUACCACCCUGAUUGCUUUGGAACUCUAACCUGCACCCGUCAGCCGGGUGGGGGACAAUGUCUGGUGGGUAGUUUGACUGGGGCGGUCGCCUCCCAAACAGUAACGGAGGCGCGCGAAGGUCCCCUCAGGCUGAUUGGAAACCAGCCGUUGAGUGUAAUGGCACAAGGGGGCUUGACUGCGAGACAAACAAGUCGAGCAGGUACGAGAAAAAAAAAAGGAGAUAAAGCGACAGGCAGG
rnacentral:rRNA from 1 species